rfam:Ixodes scapularis strain Wikel colony gcontig_1108378788048, whole genome shotgun sequence.
AAAACGGCCCUCUUCAGGGCCACAUCAGACAUGCUUU